UGGUGGGAUAACAAUUCAACUAUGUAUGCCGUUUACAUGGCUAUCGGAAGGAGAAAAUACACCGAAAAUUGCGAUCUCUGUUAUUUGGCAAAAGUUAUGAUUAUAUGCAAGAUUGAGAUGCAUUCUCUCGUUGUCCCGCAGGCCCGCAUGUUCCCUAAUAGGCGACGCCUGCCUCUGUCUACAUGAAAUUACUGGGUCAUUUUGUUCCAUGCUAGGUCCGGGACGCGUAUCACAAGAUCUGUUGACUUGCUGAAGAUUAUAGCUCAAGGUGCGUCCUGGAAGGAAGGAAAGAAGAAAGGAUGGAUGGAUGGUUUUGGCACAGUCGUACUAACAGCUUUGGAAAACGCUCAGCCCCAACUCUCUCUCCCGCACCAAAGCCUUCGCCUUCAAGGUAUAAAUAAUUUAACUCUACUGUGGAAAAACUUAUGGUUGCGAGCUGGUUGGCACAUCGGUUUUACCUUAACGGCAAAUGCUGCGAAGCGAAGAGGCAACCGCCAAGCAACGGCCCAUGGAAUCUGCCGACCGUAGAGCAUCACUUCGCGGCACUGCUAUGUGUUGUAUAAACAUCCUUGAUCUUCA
rnacentral:lncRNA from 1 species